rnacentral:rRNA from 1 species
UACGUAGGGGGCAAGCGUUGUCCGGAUUUACUGGGCGUAAAGAGCGCGUAGGCGGAAGCUUAAGCGGGGCCUGAAAGCCCCCGGCUCAACCGGGGAGGGCGGCCGUGAACUGGGCUUCUUGAGGGCGAUAGAGGAGUGUGGAAUUCCUGGUGUAGCGGUGAAAUGCGUAGAUAUCAGGAGGAACACCCAUGGCGAAGGCAGCACUCUGGGUCGGCCCUGACGCUGAGGCGCGAAAGCGUGGGGAGCGAACGGG